GCGGCCGUAGCGCGGUGGUCCCACCUGACCCCAUGCCGAACUCAGAAGUGAAACGCCGUAGCGCCGAUGGUAGUGUGGGGUCUCCCCAUGCGAGAGUAGGGAACUGCCAGGCAUC
rnacentral:rRNA from 1 species